rnacentral:tRNA from 1 species
GCGCAUUGUUAUGGUCUGAGCGCAGACUACGAAUCUGGGGGUCAGAGGUUCGAAUCCUUUCGGGCGCGCCA